AACAGCUCCCACUCUUCACACGAUCUGUCAAUCAAUGCAUCUAUUACUUCCAUUGUGAAUCUUGACUAUAAAUAGGUCAGCAUCAAUCCGUCAAAAUCAUAACGCUUGGAGACUACAACGUUGGUUUCUGCUGAAAGCUUGCGGUGUUGAUGGAUUUCCGAUGAUACUGGCCAGUUGGAUGCACAUGAAUUUCACAAAAUCAGGAAUUAAGGGCAAAUUCCUUUCUUGGUUUGCACCGGUCAAGAGUUAAUUUGUCUCAGAAGAGAUCCUGAAGAAUGCACCAGUUCCUGCGAUUGUUCAUGCGAUUGUUUGCCAGAACUAUGUCGAUUUUGUUUUGUUUGGUAAAAUAUGAGUCAUUUCCUCAGAUUUUUUUCUUCAUCAGAAGCCUCACUAAGAAGGAACCAGUUCCUAAGAUUGUUCCAGUGGCCGCUUUGUGAUGUUCUUUACCUUAAGCAGUUGAAUCACUUGAAAAAGUAUUAAAGAAGAAGAAUUAAGUAAAGGGAAGAUUCAGUGCUGAAAAGAGUAUCAGCUGCAGUCACCAUUUGGAUUUGUUUUAGACGACAUAUCCACAGAUUUGGGUUUGUUCAUCAUAAAGAUCAGUUGGAUCUAUUAAACGAAGAUGAUACUAAAGCCGUCAACAAAAAACAAGUUGCAAGAAAAUGUUGAGAUCGGCAGAGGACAAAAUGACUUAAAACUAUAAGAAUCUUACAACUAUAAGUUGCAAGCUUUGUGAUGUUCUUUACCACAAGGAAGACAAGUAAAUUACGAUUUAGUUGGUUUGUUUUCA